CCAGGCUGUCUCCACCCGAGACUCAGUGAAAUUGAACUCGCUGUGAAGAUGCAGUGUACCCGCGGCAAGACGGAAAGACCCCGUGAACCUUUACUAUAGCUUGACACUGAACAUUGAGCCUUGAUGUGUAGGAUAGGUGGGAGGCUUUGAAGCGUGGACGCCAGUCUGCGUGGAGCCGACCUUGAAAUACCACCCUUUAAUGUUUGAUGUUCUAACGUGGAUCCGUAAUCCGGGUUGCGGACAGUGUCUGGUGGGUAGUUUGACUGGGGCGGUCUCCUCCUAAAGAGUAACGGAGGAGCACGAAGGUUGGCUAAUCCUGGUCGGACAUCAGGAGGUUAGUGCAAUGGCAUAAGCCAGCUUGACUGCGAGCGUGACGGCGCGAGCAGGUGCGAAAGCAGGUCAUAGUGAUCCGGUGGUUCUGAAUGGAAGGGCCAUCGCUCAACGGAUAAAAGGUACUCCGGGGAUAACAGGCUGAUACCGCCCAAGAGUUCAUAUCGACGGCGGUGUUUGGCACCUCGAUGUCGGCUCAUCACAUCCUGGGGCUGAAGUAGGUCCCAAGGGUAUGGCUGUUCGCCAUUUAAAGUGGUACGCGAGCUGGGUUUAGAACGUCGUGAGACAGUUCGGUCCCUAUCUGCCGUGGGCGCUGGAGAACUGAGGGGGGCUGCUCCUAGUACGAGAGGACCGGAGUGGACGCAUCACUGGUGUUCGGGUUGUCAUGCCAAUGGCACUGCCCGGUAGCUAAAUGCGGAAGAGAUAAGUGCUGAAAGCAUCUAAGCACGAAACUUGCCCCGA
rnacentral:rRNA from 1 species